AACUAAAUAUAACUCGGAAAAAACAAAACAAAAGUAAUUUAAAAAAAAGUUGAUACAAAAUAAAAACUGAGAUAAAACCACAAAAAGUACUUUGUAAAAAAAUCAGCUAAGGAAUUUCAAGCUGUAAAUUCAAAUGAAAUGAAAUUAACGCAAUGCAUUAAGGACUUAAGUACACACAUAUUGUAUUUGUUGUUGUACAUACUUUUUGUGUCGAUUGUUUGUGGUUCGCCGAGGCGGAAUCUCAGACGCGCACAAAUAAAUGCCGGUUCGCCAUUAAAAAAUGCAUUUCGGCGGCAAACAGCAUCGAUGGCAGCGAAUUAUUCGCACGAAAAAAUAUACAAACACGCAAGUUGCAAGCAGGAUGGCUGCCGUAAGCAAUGGCGACAUAUAUAAAUAUAUCUGCGUAAAAUAAGUGCAGAGAAAAGUUCCCUGCGUUUGCUUGUUGAUAAUGUUAUAAAAUUUUCACAUAUAACUUAACUGCGACGACUCAUUACAUGCCACUCUUUCACAAGCACUUGCAAUUACAGAAAAAUAAACAAAAUAAUUUACAAAAAUGUAAACUUUUUUCGCAAAGCAAGUCGGCGUAGCGAAAAAAUAUGUGGUUAUGAAGAGGAAACAACAAAAAAAAAAUUUAAAAAUAUAUA